rnacentral:rRNA from 1 species
GACGAACGCUGGCGGCGUGGAUUAGGCAUGCAAGUCGAACGGCAGGAUACCUUCGGGUAUCUGAGAGUGGCGAACGGGUGAGUAACACGUAGGUGAUCUACCCUCAAGAUUGGGACAACCCAGGGAAACUUGGGCUAAUACCGGAUGAAAGCAGCAGUGAUGUUGUUUGAAAGGUGGCGUAAGCUGCCGUUUGGGGAUGAGCCUGCGCUCUAUUAGUUAGUUGGCGGGGUAAAGGCCCACCAAGGCGAUGAUAGAUAGGCGGCCUUAACGGGUGGUCGCCCACACUGGGAUUGAGAUACGGCCCAGACUCCUACGGGAGGCAGCAGUCGAGAAUAGUCUACAAUGGCCGAAAGGCUGAUAGGUGCGACGCCGCGUGAACGAAGAAGCCCUUGGGGUGUAAAGUUCUUUUAAUGUGAGCAGUGCUUUUCAUGUGAACAGCAAGUGGGGAGAGAGAUAUUAGCAUAUGAAUAAGCAACGGCUAACCUCCGUAGCC